GAGCCUGGAGUCACAGCUGCCUUCGCUUUAUGACCCUGAGGAAUUUACUUAGCUUCUUGGCCUUCUUGCCUCACUUGAUUCUGGUGUCUUGCUGCCUGUGGCUGUAUCUUCUUCUAAAGACUGAAGCUGAGAAGAAGGCUUGGUUUCCUCCCUUGGCUGCCCCCAAGACUACUGUUGCCACAGGGUGCUUCUUUCUUCCCUUUCUAUUGGUUUUCCCCAGAGAAGACUACGUGUGGAUAUCUACUAUAAAACAUGUGUGCAUGGAAAAUUGUAGGGCCAGAUGCUUCUGGAUUAAGAGAACAUGACCAGAUCUGGAGAAGGAGCAGCUGGGAGGAGGAGCCUGACUUUCUUAGCAAAACCAGUUCCUUUGCUUUCCCAUGUGGUUGGCCUCAGCCUUGUCUUUUAAGUUAAGUGAUGGGGCUAAAAAAAGUAAUGAGCCCCAGGAAGACCUGGGGUCCAGUCCCUGAUCUGCCACUUCAUUGCCUCACAACCUUGGGGAAGUCAUUUAUCCUCUCUGAGCCUCAGUUUCCUCAUUUGCAAAUUUCAAAUAACCAUCCUUCUGUAACUGACAAGGUUGUUGUAAGACUAUAAAGCACAUGUUAUUUUAUUUGUGUCUAUAUAAGGAAUAAUUAUUAUUGAGCUGCAUCAUAUGAAACUUCAAUUUUUGAAAGUCAAAAACAGUCAAACGUUGGUAAUUUUAAAUCAUUUGCUACUAUUUCAAGUAAAAGGAAACCCUGCAGAUGGUGCUUAUGCCAGAGGAGAGAAUAUUAUCCAGGGGGCAAUGGAAAGCUUCUGAAUGAGUUGUAUAAAUUGUUACAGGACUAUAAUAGAGAGAAAGAAUAGGCUUAAGUAUUAUCUUAGACAUGCACAGACAUUCCCAUGAUGGCUGAAUGUUCCCAUUUUAGCUGGAUGCUUAGUUUUGCACAAUUGUAGAGAAAAUCAACAAAAUAGUUUGUCAUCUCUUUUAACGUUCUGGGGUAGCCUCGAUGAAAACCUAGAGCAGUCGUUCUUGACCUUGUCUGUAAGUUAGGAAACACUGGGAAGCUUUAAAAAAAUCUUAACCCCCCAUAUCCAGAUCAAUUAGAUGACCAUUUCUGGGUGUUGGGGGCUGAAUUUCACCCUCUCAAAAUUCAUACACUGAUGUCCUAAUCCCCUGUACUUCAACAUGCCAACCAAAACCUGCCAGCACCUUAAUCUUGGACUUUCAGCCUCCAGAACUGUGAGAAAAUAAAUUUCUGAUUUUUAAGCCACCUAUUCUGUGGUAUUUUGUUAUGGUAUUCCUAGCAAAUUAAUACAGAUUUGCAGAAUGGGAUGUGACAUCAGGAAUUUUUCAGGCAUCCCAUGUGAUUUUAAGGGGCAGCCAAGAUUGAGAACCACAAGCCUAGCAGAAGAGAAAGAGGCCCAGGGUCAAGAUGAGUGAACAUGGGGAAAAAUCAUGAAUGCUGUCAGUUACUUUCUAAAUACUGGUUAUCAUUAUCUUUCAUCCCUAGUGUGGCACCAUCAGUCACAAAAUCUCUUAAGUUUCCACUUACGUCUAGUUACAAUAUGCAGUUAGCUAAUGUACCACCCAGAAAACACCACAGGGUAACAGUCUGUGCCGUGAGAUAGUGACCUUUUAAAGGCACUUGAUGGGUAUGUGGGUUGGGUUCUCUCCCUCUGCCAGCAUUUCUACAGCUACUCCAAAGAGCAGUGAAUGCCUCAGAAAAGGGUCUCAUCCAAAUCCCAAGGGUGCCCCCUGCUGGAAAAGGUGUAGAAAUCAGCCCACAGAGCCCAGUAAAUACUGCUCAAGUUCAGUUUCUUUGAGAGGGAUUCUCAGAAUGUCAGUGCUGGAAGUUACCAUAGAUGGAAUGAAUCUCCCUCAUUUAUCAAAUGACGAAGAUGAAAUCCAUAUCAGGUAAGCAACUUGAAUAAAAUUACGUGGCUCUUAGUCUCUCUAUUGGAAGCUGAGCUCAGGAGACAGGAAUGAUUUCUAGAAGCUCAUUUAAACAAACAAGCAAAAAAACAA
rnacentral:lncRNA from 1 species